ACUGUAAUGGGACUUGGGACUGGAG
rnacentral:piRNA from 1 species